rnacentral:lncRNA from 1 species
GUUUGGGGGGGUCCUGGUGGAUAUUGGGGGGUGGGGGGGCUGUAGGGCCGGUGGUGGCCGGGUUGGCCAAUGGGGGGCGGUGGGGGUGAGGCUGCGGGGUGCUCUGGUGGCCGUAAAGGCCAAUGGAUGGCCAACAGUUAAGCAGUGGUUGAGCAAAGGUUGAGCAGUGGUUACCCAUGAGGCAGCAGUGUGCCCUGGUGGCCUAAAAGAGCAAUGGUUGACCAGUAGUUGACCAGCAGCUCAUCUGUAGUUGACCAAUGGUUGCCCAUGAGGCUGCAGUGUGCCCUGGUGGCCAAAAAGACCCAUGGUUGACCAGUGGUUGACCAACAGUUCAUCUGUAGUUGACCAAUGGUUGCUCACGAGGCAGCAGUAUGGCCUGGUUGCCAAGAAGAGCAAUGGUUGACCAGUAGUUGACCAUCAGUUCAUCUGUAGUGGCCAAAAAGAUCCAUGGUUGACCAAUAGUUGACCAGCAGUUCAUCAGUAGUUGACCAAUAGUUGCCCAUUAUGCUGCUCUGUGCCCUGGUGGCCAUAAAGACCCAUAGUUGACCAGUGGUUGACCAGCAGUUCAUCAGUAGUUGACCAAUGGUUGCUCUUGAGGCAGCAGUGUGCCCUGGUGGCCAAAAAGACCCAUGGUUGACCAAUGGUUGACCAGCAGUUCAUCAGUAGUUGACCAAUGGUUGCCCAUGUGGCAGCAGUGUGCCCUGGUGGCCAAGAAGACCAGUAGUUGACUAAUAGUGGAACCGUGGUUGACCAACGGUGGCUCAUGAG